UACGAAGGGGGCUAGCGUUGUUCGGAAUUACUGGGCGUAAAGCGCGCGUAGGCGGGCUGUCAAGUCAGAGGUGAAAUCCCAAGGCUCAACCUUGGAACUGCCUUUGAAACUGUCAGCCUGGAGUAUCGGAGGGGACAGUGGAAUUCCUAGUGUAGAGGUGAAAUUCGUAGAUAUUAGGAGGAACACCAGUGGCGAAGGCGACUGUCUGGACGAUUACUGACGCUGAGGCGCGAAAGCGUGGGGAGCAAACAGG
rnacentral:rRNA from 1 species